AUACUGACACUGAGGAGCGAAAGCGUGGGGAGCGAACAGGAUUAGAUACCCUGGUAGUCCACGCCGUAAACGGUGGGCGCUAGUUGUGCGAACCUUCCACGGUUUGUGCGACGCAGCUAACGCAUUAAGCGCCCCGCCUGGGGAGUACGAUCGCAAGAUUAAAACUCAAAGGAAUUGACGGGGCCCCGCACAAGCAGCGGAGCAUGCGGCUUAAUUCGACGCAACGCGAAGAACCUUACCAAGGCUUGACAUAUACAGGUAUACGGCAGAGAUGUCGUAGCGGUUAAACGUCUGUAUACAGGUGGUGCAUGGUUGUCGUCAGCUCGUGUCGUGAGAUGUUGGGUUAAGUCCCGCAACGAGCGCAACCCUCGUUCUGUGUUGCCAGCAUUUAGUUGGGGACUCACAGGAGACUGCCGGGGUUAACUCGGAGGAAGGUGGGGAUGACGUCAAAUCAUCAUGCCCCUUAUGUCUUGGGCUGCACGCAUGCUACAAUGGCUGGUACAAAGGGCUGCAAUACUGCAAAGUGGAGCGAAUCCCAAAAAGCCAGUCUCAGUUCGGAUUGGGGUCUGCAACUCGACCCCAUGAAGUCGGAGUUGCUAGUAAUCGUAGAUCAGCAACGCUACGGUGAAUACGUUCCCGGGGCUUGUACACACCGCCCGUCACAUCACGAAAUCGGUAACACCCGAAGUCAGUGGCCCAACC
rnacentral:rRNA from 1 species